AGAGUUUGAUCCUGGCUCAGGACGAACGCUGGCGGCGUGCUUAACACAUGCAAGUCGAACGGGGUAUGCGAGGAGCUUGCUUUGAGCAUACUUAAGUGGCGGACGGGUGAGUAACGCGUGAGGAUCUGUCCUAUACAGGGUGGACAACAGAUGGAAACGUCUGCUAAUACCGCAUAAGCCUAAGGGUAAAAGGAGAGAUUCUGGUAUAGGAGGAACUCGCGUCCUAUCAGCUAGUAGGUGAGGUAACGGCUCACCUAGGCGAAGACGGGUAGCCGGCCUGAGAGGGCGAACGGCCACACUGGAACUGAGAUACGGUCCAGACUCCUACGGGAGGCAGCAGUGGGGAAUAUUGGGCAAUGGGGGAAACCCUGACCCAGCGACGUCGCGUGAGUGAAGAAAUCCCUCGGGAUGUAAAGCUCUGUUGUACGGGAAGAGAAGCAGACGGUCACGUACGAGGAAGCCCCGGAAACUACGUGCCAGCAGCGCGGUAAUACGUAGGGGGGCAAGCGUUGUCCGGAAUUACGUGGGCGUAAAGCGCACGA
rnacentral:rRNA from 1 species